AGGUGGAAACCAAGCUUCUUGGAAGACUUCAAACUAUGCCAAAUGGUCUGAUUUUUACCAUAAAGGACCAACAUGAACUGCAAUGAUCCAAGUACUCUCCUUGCUGGCAGUCCUGCGACAUCUCAAAAAAGUUGAGUUAUUCUCUACAGUGUCAGUUUAAGAAGGCAGUGAAGUUGUUGCACUGAAACAAAAGAUGCUAUGGUGGUGUCAGCACUGGAUAUGGCUGAAUUAGGAAGAAAGUGGAAAAAAAGGGCUGAGAGUGAAAAAAAUGUGGCAGAAAACAGAAGCAGAAAGAAAUUACAAAAA